GGAAUAACCCUUCGAAAGGAGGGCUAAUACCGAAUCAGCCCACGAUCUCCUCGGAGAUUGAGGGAAAAGGUGGCCUCUGCAUGCAAGCUAUCGCCUGGAGAUGAGCCCGCGGCCCAUCAUGCUAGUUGGCGGGGUAACGGCCCACCAAGGCGACGACGGGUAGCUGGUCUGAGAGGACGAUCAGCCACACUGGAACUGAGACACGGUCCAGACUCCUACGGGAGGCAGCAGUGGGGAAUCUUGCGCAAUGGGCGAAAGCCUGACGCAGCAACGCCGCGUGGAGGAUGAAGCCCUUUGGGGCGUAAACUCCUUUCGACUCGGACGAUGAUGACGGUACGAGUGGAAGAAGCACCGGCUAACU
rnacentral:rRNA from 1 species